UACGUAGGGGGCGAGCAUUGUUCGGAAUUACUGGGCGUAAAGAGCGCGUAGGCGGUCAAAUAAGUCAGGCGUGAAAUCCCUCGGCUCAACCGAGGCUUGGCGCUUGAAACUAUUUGACUUGAGUUUAGGAGAGGAGAUCGGAAUUCCCAGUGUAGCGGUGAAAUGCGUAGAUAUUGGGAGGAACACCGGUGGCGAAGGCGGCUCUCUGGAUUAAUACUGACGCUGAGGCGCGAAAGCUAGGGGAGCAAACGGG
rnacentral:rRNA from 1 species